UACGGAGGAUCCGAGCGUUAUCCGGAUUUAUUGGGUUUAAAGGGAGCGUAGGCGGAUUGUUAAGUCAGUUGUGAAAGUUUGCGGCUCAACCGUAAAAUUGCAGUUGAUACUGGCAGUCUUGAGUGCAGUAGAGGUGGGCGGAAUUCGUGGUGUAGCGGUGAAAUGCUUAGAUAUCACGAAGAACUCCGAUUGCGAAGGCAGCUCACUGGAGUGUAACUGACGCUGAUGCUCGAAAGUGUGGGUAUCAAACAGGAUUAGAAACCCCGGUAGCUGACU
rnacentral:rRNA from 1 species